AGCAGCCGCGGUAAUUCCAGCUCCAAUAGCGUAUAUUAAAGUUGUUGCAGUUAAAAAGCUCGUAGUUGAAUUUCGAGACCGGUUUACUGGUCGUGCUUUUGUACGUACUGGUAUUAUUGGUUUCUCCUUUCUGACGAACUAUAAUGCCAUUAAUUUGGUGUUUUAGGGAAUCAGGACUGUUACUUUGAAAAAAUUAGAGUGUUUAAAGCAGGCUCACGCUUGAAUACAUUAGCAUGGAAUAACGGAAUAGGACGUUUGAUUCUAUUUUGUUGGUUUCUAGGAUCAACGUAAUGAUUAAUAGGGAUAGUUGGGGGCAUUAGUAUUCAAUUGUCAGAGGUGAAAUUCUUGGAUUUAUUGAAGACUAACUACUGCGAAAGCAUUUGCCAAGGAUGUUUUCAUUAAUCAAGAACGAAAGUUAGGGGAUCGAAGACGAUCAGAUACCGUCGUAGUCUUAACCAUAAACUAUGCCGACUAGGGAUCGG
rnacentral:rRNA from 1 species